GCUCCGGCUACACUUAUGGAUGUGACUAUGAUAUGAAGGGACACUUAACCUAUGGGAAGAAAGGGGAAUGGAGAUUUGACAAAAGAUCGUAUAUUAAGUCACCGCCACCAAAGAACCUUACAAUGCCACCACCUGGUGUUCCACAGAGUGUGGUAACAUUAGUGAAGAUGGUGAACGAAGCCACUGCAAACCUUCCAGACUGGGGAUCAUAGAGAGAGAUAGAAACAGUUUUAACUUUUUUUUUGUCUUAAUCUUAUCUAUAUACGUUCUCGGUGUAGUUUGUAAAAUAUAUAGCUUUUCAAACAAACCGUUGUAUGGCAUUUUACAUUCUAAUUCUCUAACUACUAGGUUUGAAUGUCA